CCUACGGGAGGCAGCAGUGAGGAAUAUUGGUCAAUGGACGAGAGUCUGAACCAGCCAAGUAGCGUGAAGGAUGACUGCCCUAUGGGUGGUAAACUUCUUUUAUAAAGGAAUAAAACGAGGCACGUGUGCCUUUUUGCAUGUACUUUAUGAAUAAGGAUCGGCUAACUCCGUGCCAGCAGCCGCGGUAAUACGGAGGAUCCGAGCGUUAUCCGGAUUUAUUGGGUUGAAAGGGAGCGUAGAUGGGUUGUUAAGUCAGUUGUGAAAGUUCGCGGCUCAACCGUAAAAUUGCAUUUGAUACUGGCAGUCUUGAGUGCAGGAGAGGUAGGCGGAAUUCGUGGUGUAGCGGUGAAAUGCUUAGAUAUCACGAAGAACACCGAUGGCGAAGGCAGAUUACUAAACUGUGACUGACAUUGAUGCUCGAAAGUGUGGGUAUCAAACAGGAUUAGAUACCCUUGUAGUC
rnacentral:rRNA from 1 species